rnacentral:tRNA from 1 species
UGGUAAUUAGUUUAAACAAAAUUAAUGAUUUCGACUCAUUAGAUUAUGGUAUCUACCAUAAUUACCAA